rnacentral:rRNA from 1 species
GAUGAACGCUGGCGGCGUGCCUAAUACAUGCAAGUCGAGCGAACAGACGAGGAGCUUGCUCCUCUGACGUUAGCGGCGGACGGGUGAGUAACACGUGGAUAACCUACCUAUAAGACUGGGAUAACUUCGGGAAACCGGAGAUAAUACCGGAUCAUAUAUUGAACCGCAUGGUUCAAUAGUGAAAGACGGUUUUGCUGUCACUUAUAGAUGGAUCCGGGCCGCCUUAGCUAGUUGGUAAGGUAACGGCUUACCAAGGCAACGAUGCGUAGCCGACCUGAUAGGGUGAUCGGCAACACUGGAACGGAGACACGGUCCAGACUCCUAGGGGAGGCAGCAGUAGGGAAUCUUGCGCAAUGGGCGAAAGCCUGACGGAGCAACGCGGGGGGGGUGAGGAGGUCUUCGGAUCGUAAAACUCUGUUAUUAGGGAAGAACAAAUGUGUAAGUAACUAUGCACGUCUUGACGGUACCUAAUCAGAAAGCCACGGCUAACUACGUG